rnacentral:lncRNA from 1 species
CACGGACAGCUGCUCGUGGUAGGCCUUCUCAGCAGAAAUGACUGGAGCGUAGGACGAAAGCAUGAAGUGGAUCCUCGGGUAGGGCACCAGGUUGGUCUGGAACUCGUUCACAUCAACGUUCAGAGCACCAUCGAACCUCAGGGAAGCCGUCAGGGAUGAGAUGACCUGAACAACAUCAGUAAGAGCCAAUGGUUAGACAAAAGCCAAGAAUACAAAUCAGACUGAAUCCAAAGCCAGUACAGUACACAGAGACAGUACCUGGGAGACAAGCCUGUUGAGGUUGGUGUAGGUUGGGCGCUCAAUGUCAAGGGAGCGGCGGCAGAUGUCAUAGAUGGCCUCAUUGUCGAGCAGGACAGCAACAUCAGUGUGCUCGAGGAGAGAGUGGGUGGACAGGACACUGUUGUAUGGCUCAACCACGGAUGUGGACACCUGGGGGGAUGGGUACACGGUGAAACCGAGCUUGGACUUCUUGCCAUAGUCAACAGACAGGCGCUCCAGGAGGAGAGAACCAAGCCCAGAGCCCGUUCCUCCACCAACAGCGUUGAAGACGAGGAAGCCCUGGAGACCAGUGCAAUUAUCUGCAAGCUUCCUGAUGCGGUCAAGGCACAGGUCAACAAUCUCCUUGCCAACUGCAAGACAAGCAAAUCAAGUUUAAGUAUGGUUUUCAUUACAGAUUGAAUAUCUGGGAUCAAUGCCAACUUAAGAUCCGAUCAGAUUACUUACUGGUGUAGUGACCACGAGCGAAGUUGUUGGCUGCAUCCUCCUUGCCACUGAUGAGCUGCUCAGGAUGGAAGAGCUGGCGGUAGGUGCCAGUCCUCACCUCAUCGAUGACAGUGGGCUCAAGGUCAACAAAAACAGCACGGGGGACGUGCUUCCCAGCGCCAGUCUCACUGAAGAAGGUGUUGAAAGCAUCAUCACCUCCC